UGGUGGGUAGUUUGACUGGGGCGGUCUCCUCCUAAAGAGUAACGGAGGAGCACGAAGGUUGGCUAAUCCUGGUCGGACAUCAGGAGGUUAGUGCAAUGGCAUAAGCCAGCUUGACUGCGAGCGUGACGGCGCGAGCAGGUGCGAAAGCAGGUCAUAGUGAUCCGGUGGUUCUGAAUGGAAGGGCCAUCGCUCAACGGAUAAAAGGUACUCCGGGGAUAACAGGCUGAUACCGCCCAAGAGUUCAUAUCGACGGCGGUGUUUGGCACCUCGAUGUCGGCUCAUCACAUCCUGGGGCUGAAGUAGGUCCCAAGGGUAUGGCUGUUCGCCAUUUAAAGUGGUACGCGAGCUGGGUUUAGAACGUCGUGAGACAGUUCGGUCCCUAUCUGCCGUGGGCGCUGGAGAACUGAGGGGGGCUGCUCCUAGUACGAGAGGACCGGAGUGGACGC
rnacentral:rRNA from 1 species